rnacentral:lncRNA from 1 species
GUGGUUCAGAAUAAAUUCCGUCUGUUCUGUGAUUGCGCUCCACCCACGAAUGAAGACAAAGACGGGAUGAUGGGGGUGCUGGAGGGGGGGAUACAGGAACAGCCAGCUGAGGCUUUUCCUUCAGACCUCCUUUAUAAAGGUACUCAACUGUUUCACGGAACGCACCGAAAAAGCUAUGAUCCCUUCUCGAGCUAAAAUGUCGAGCCAUGUGCACACAUCACACAGAUUGUUUUUUUUUAGGAAUUCUCUUUACCCUGUAUGAUAACCUGGCCUUCCCAUGUCACGCUGACAGCAGUAGGUGAAAGAGCAGGAUGUCGGUUUGUAUUCCAGAUGAGCAACUUCAGUACGAUGUCGUUGCACAGCAAUACUAAGUGAUGAAAUCGUGAUUAAGUAAUGAUUUAAAAACAAAUAUUAUUUCACUUUAAGGCAUCGCAGGAGUGCAGCUGGGUGUAAAACAUCCCAAUAAGUAAACCAUUGAUUCUCAGUUUGACUCUGCCAGUUGUUGGACUGGCCGUGGGGUGCGCGCCAUCCCCCCGUCGUGCCGAUGAGCGUUUGUCCCGUUGCUUUUCGAAGGUCUCGGCAGCCACUGGAGUGUAAGCGCACCGCUGCGCAUCUUGUUCGCUUCAUUUGCCCUGCUGCUCCACGGCGCAUCCCUGAAGCCCAGCGGGUCUCCGCUUUCCUCACCAAGUGUUCCUUCACUAAAGAUGGCACAUUUUCCCAUAAAUACGGGGUCCAUCAGUGCCUACAAUCAGCUCUCCAGUGCCCUACGAUUUAUGAGGUAUGACCACAUGCUCAUGAAUAUUUUAUUAUUAAUCCAUGUGCAGAUCCAGAUGUUACUUUCAAUAAUUUCUGCCCUGCAGAUGACCAUGUAGCCCGAGGGUUUACACCUAUAGUAUUCUGACCUCUGCAAUCUAGAUUAACACCAAAUCAUGAUUACACAGAUAGAGAUGUUGUUUUGUCAGUUCUGCGGUAUUGUAAUUUUCGUUUUAUGUUUCAAAGCGCAGGGGGCACAGUGGCGCA